rnacentral:rRNA from 1 species
CUAAGUACGUGCGAAGCGCCGAAGCCGCGAGGCGACGGCGUUCUCGCCGGAUGUAGGAACCGACCCGGGGACCGCCGGGGGCAACCCCGGCGCCCCCGAGACGGGGCGAACCACGGUGAAAUGACGGAUCGUCGGCCCCGCGCCGGCGACUCGCCGAAUGAGUUUCUGACCUAUCAACUCGAGACGGCGGGGUAGAGGCCCGCCGCGGUAACGACGGGUAACGGGGAAUCAGGGUUCGAUUCCGGAGAGGGAGCCCGAGAAACGGCUACCACUUCCAAGGAAGGCAGCAGGCGCGCAACUUACCCUAAUCUCGAUUCGAGGAGGUAGUGACAAGAAAUACCGAUGCGGGACCCUACGGGUGCCGCGUUCGGAAUGAGUACGAUUCGAACCACCUAACGAGGAAC